AGUGGCGAACGGGUGAGUAACACGUGGGUGACCUACCUUCGAAUGGGGGAUAACGUCCCGAAAGGGACGCUAAUACCGCAUAACAUCCCGCCUUUGAACAGGCGGACAUCAAAGCUGGGGAUCGCAAGACCUGGCGUUUGAAGAGGGGCCCGCGUCUGAUUAGCUAGUUGGUGGGGUAACGGCUCACCAAGGCGACGAUCAGUAUCCGGCCUGAGAGGGCGGACGGACACACUGGGACUGAGACACGGCCCAGACUCCUACGGGAGGCAGCAGUGGGGAAUUGUUCACAAUGGGCGCAAGCCUGAUGACGCAACGCCGCGUGGAGGAUGAAGGUCUUCGGAUUGUAAACUCCUGUUGCUCGGGACGAAAAGCUCUGACCUAACACGUCAGAGUCUGACGGUACCGGGUGAGGAAGCCCCGGCUAACUCUGUGCCAGCAGCCGCGGUAAUACAGAGGGGGCAAGCGUUGUUCGGAAUUACUGGGCGUAAAGGGCGCGUAGGCGGCCUUCUAAGUCAGACGUGAAAUCCCCGGGCUCAACCCGGGAACUGCGUCUGAUACUGGAGGGCCUGAAUCCGGGAGAGGGAUGUGGAAUUCCAGGUGUAGCGGUGAAAUGCGUAGAUAUCUGGAGGAACACCGGUGGCGAAGGCGGCAUCCUGGACCGGUAUUGACGCUGAGGCGCGAAAGCCAGGGGAGCAAACGGGAUUAGAUACCCCGGUAGUCCUGGCCCUAAACGAUGAAUGCUUGG
rnacentral:rRNA from 1 species